rnacentral:rRNA from 1 species
CUGAAACUACGCCUACAUGAAGCUGGAGUUACUAGUAAUCGCAGAUCAGAAUGCUGCGGUGAAUGCGUUCCCGGGUCUUGUACACACCGCCCGUCACACCACGGAAGUUGGGGGCGCCCGAAGCCACUUAGCUAACCCAUUUGGGAAGCGAGUGUCGAAGGUGAAAUCAAUAACUGGGGUGAAGUCGUAACAAGGUAGC